GGAGGGCCGUCGGCCGCCCCGGAGGAGGGCUUUGUCUGCGCCCGGCUCCGCUCCCCCCCGCCGCCGCUCCCGCUCCCUCUGCCCGCCCGCUCUCGCUCUCGCUCUCCCUCUCGCUGUGGUUUUUGUAAGGUAGGUUGCAGCGCGUGUGUGUGUACACAACAUCGAGAGCAGGAAAAUGGACUCAUUAGGGAGGCAGGCGGUCGGGAGCGCUCGCGCUGUAGUGCCGGGGAGACGGAGGCUAUGAGGAGGCAAACUGAGGACGGGGGAACAAGCAGCAUAAAAAAGAAGUGUUGAGAGCUGCUCUUAACCCUUUUGGAGUCCGAAGUCAAAAGGGAACUAGAGGGCUUGACACAUCCCUUGCAUCUUCCAUUUACUCUGACCACAGUCCCUCCCUGUUCUCACAAGUGGAGCUAAGCCCUGCUUCCCUUCCUCUUGAUUCCCAGCCAGCUACAUGACUGCCUGAAGUUACAUUGUAGAUGCUGAAAUCACUGCACCUUAAAAACAAAAAGAUUAAGCUGCACUGCAUUCUUAUGUAUAGAGGCAUGUUAUAGAAAUAUGUAUUAAGAAGUCCCUGGGUCCUAGGAGAAAGUGUCAAGUUGACUCUGGCUAGAAGCAAACAAAUUACCUUCGUGGUCCUGGUCCUUUCGUUCCACACAAUUAUCGACUGAGCUGAAGGAGAUCUCCCUAUAGCUUGCAUGUACUCUCCUGUGUGACAGAAUUGAUGUGAUCUCAUGAAAUUCCAAGAAAAGCAGAAAUUGGGUAGACAAAAUGGAUGCUACUACCAAGAAAACUCUACUCAGUACUCUUAGAAGUAAAGGAUAUGGUGAUGUGAGUCAGUCCUCACAACACAGCACUUCAAGGGAGAUUGAUAAAUGGUGAUUGGGCACAACUCACAGCUCUGUGCUAUGAGGAGGUGAUAUCAUGUGGCAUAUUUACCUGGGAUUUUUGUGCUGGCAGAGAGUCGGGGAAAGAAAUCUUUUUAUGAUCAAGCAGUAUAGCUCAAAGCAGCAUUGGUUUUAUGAAUGUGAAUGAUAGACAGUGGUGAAUCGGAGUACAGCUGAAUCCUAAACCAAGUGAUUGUGAUGGGGCAAAUUAUAGGGGAAUUUAUGCAAGGAUCUCUGCUGCUAUAGCUCAGAUGAUUCGUCUGUGCUGUUUUUUGCUCACUCUUUUCCAAGUUUAUUUUGUAUUAUAUAUCAUUCCUGUAAUUGUGUUCUUUGUUGUUUCUCUCCUGACAUGUUAAAUCCCAUAACACAGUCUAGUCAUGAUGUUUUCCUUCUCUUUCAAAGAGUCCCAAGAGAGAGAAGCAGGGAAGGUAGAUGUAUUUGACUUUGGAAAAUGAGUUGAUGCCAGUUGCAAAGGAAAUAAAAUAUAUCAUAGGGGUCUGCUAAGGGGAGGGGAGUGAAAAUAUUUCUUGUUUGUGACAAAAGAUUGCCUUGAAGAUUGCUUCAGCUUGAUCA